AUGACAAACCCCUAUUAUUUCGUAAUUUGUAGUUUAGUUUUGCUUUUUAGCUACAGCCCCUGCCAAGCCUGUUGCUCAUGGUUUACUAUGAAAUUUCAGUUAUGUUCACUGGACUUGUCGCAAGUGGCUAGAUUUUGAUACCAGUGACCCAGAUUUUUGAUACCAGUGACCCUGGAAUGUCACUCAUUCUUGAGCCACGGGAUCAAGGGGACUCAGAACAGGGGCUGGGCUUCCAGAUUCCCAACUUAGGGACCUUUGUCUACUUACAGCCUGGACAGCUAACACCAGAAACCCAGUGUCCACCGGUUGUCUCUGCUUCCUUCCACUCUGCAGCCGGGUCCCCUUUCUCCCCAGCGACAUUCUAAAACCAGUUGAUUAUCCAUGUCACCAGGGAACACAGAACAGACCACACAGCUCAAAACAGUUCGGAUCAGCUUUACAAAAAGUGAGAGGAAACAUCUGUACCUAGUUUUCUUUGGGUUUAAGGAAUUUUUUUCUUUCUUUCUGGUUUUUUUUUUUUUUUUUUUUUGGUACCAGGGAUUGAACCCUGGGGCACUAACCCACUGGGCCACACCCCAGCCCUUUCUUGUAUUUCAUUUAGAGCCAGGGUCUCACUGAGUUGCUUAGCGCCUCACUGAGCUGCUGAAGCUGUAUUUGCGAUCCUCCUGCCUCAGCCUCUGAAGCCACUGGGACUACCAGUGGGUGCCACCACGCUGGGCGGUUUAAGGGAAUUCUAACUGAGCACAGACUAGACUACUGGGGGGAAUGGCUGGGGCCCAGGCUGGCACUUGGCGAGUUUCCCGGGAGGGGAUGCCAUCCGGGCAGUAGAUUCUGGGAGGGUGAGGGCAGUGGCUGAGCGUGCAUGAUGUCAUCUGACUGUCACUGAGGCUGCCUCCUAAUUAAGUCAAAGGUCCUCAGAAGGCUGCCAGGAGCGGGCUCCCAGCACGGGGCAAUUCAAAACCAAACCCCCAGCACAGCCACAGAGGGACUAUACACAUGGGCACUUUAUAAAGUCUUUCAGAGGGUUCUCAUCUUCUGCUGUGGCAUUUGGAAAUGUCUUUCAGGUGAGUUUCAGUUCCUACGACGCUUAGAAGCACCCCAUGAAAUGGGUCUCCACGGAGCCCGUGGGAGCUCCCAUCUGCUGUUCUCAAGACCCAGCCCAGGGGCCAGCAAGGGAUGCUGUGGUCUUCUGAGGUCACGCUCCCCGUGUCCCACCCCACAGGCCCCCCCAAGACAGGAAGAGGCCCUGGACAGCUCAGCACUGCAGGUUAGCAGCCAGUCCCUGCCCUGGUGGAAAGGUCAAUGGGAAGGUCAACAUGAUACCCGUGGGAAAGUGUAGCUUUUUUUUUUUCUCUUCUUUUUGCCCCGUUGAGAGCAUCUCUGCCUUCUAGAAAGUUACGCUGAAGGAUGGGCUGAUCCGCCAACACCUCUGGGUUUUCAGCUCAAGUCUGGCUGCUUUAUGACGACUUCCACCUAAUUAAAGAGAACACGGCGUGGACCACGUAGAGCAGCGUGGCGACAUAGGAGAACACCUGGAACCCAGAGAGAGCCCCAUUAGUGUUGGGGGUGGGGGGCAGGCAGGGAGGCCCACGGGUCCACGCUGCCUGGAGCACCACAUGGCCCUUGGGCUGCCACUGCCCGUCACUCAUGCACACACCCUUUCCUGGGUAGCCCAGGUGCAUCCCUAAUCCUCUCCCCACACAGCCCCAGGGGACCUGACUCAAGAUCCCUGGGUCCUAGAAUGCAAGAUGAAACCACCAACUUCACCCAACGUCCAGGUGUGGUCAGCUGACUUGAAAUGGGAACACUGAGGGCCCCUGCAAGGAAAGCAUCCAGGCAGGUGU
rnacentral:lncRNA from 1 species